UACAGAGGGUGCAAGCGUUAAUCGGAAUUAUUGGGCGUAAAGCGCGCGCAGGCGGUUUCUUAAGUCUGAUGUGAAAGCCCACGGCUCAACCGUGGAGGGUCAUUGGAAACUGGGGAACUUGAGUGCAGAAGAGAAAAGCGGAAUUCCACGUGUAGCGGUGAAAUGCGUAGAGAUGUGGAGGAACACCAGUGGCGAAGGCGGCUUUUUGGUCUGUAACUGACGCUGAGGCGCGAAAGCGUGGGGAGCAAACAGG
rnacentral:rRNA from 1 species